rnacentral:rRNA from 1 species
GAUGAACGCUGGCGGCGUGCCUAAUACAUGCAAGUCGAGCGAACGGACGAGAAGCUUGCUUCUCUGUUGUUAGGGGCGGGCGGGUGAGUCACACGUGUAUAAUCUCCUUAUAAUACGGGUAUAACUUCGGGAAACCGGAUCUAAUACCGUAUAAUAUUUUGAUGCGUAUUGUUGAAAAGUGAAAGACGGUCUUGCGGGCACGUAUAGAUGGAUCCGCGCUUCAUUAGCUAGUUGGUAAGGUAACGGGUUACCAAGGCAACGAUGCAUAGCCGACGUGAGAGGGGGAUAGGCCACACUGGAACUUAGACACGGUCCAGACUACUACGAGAGGCAGCAGUAGGGAAUCUUCCGCAAUGGGCGAAAGCCUGACGGAGCAACGCCGCGUGAGUGAUGAAAGUCUUCGGUUCGUAAAACUCUGUUAUUAGGGAAGAACAUAUGUGUAAGUAACUGAGCACAUAUUGACGGUACCUAAUCAGAAAGCAACGGCUAACUACGUG